rnacentral:rRNA from 1 species
GACGAACGCUGGCGGCGUGCUUAACACAUGCAAGUCGAGCGGUAAGGCCCUUUCGGGGGUACACGAGCGGCGAACGGGUGAGUAACACGUGGGUGACCUGCCCUCAGCUCUGGGAUAAGCCUGGGAAACUGGGUCUAAUACUGGAUAUGACUCCACGGUGCAUGUCGUGGGGUGGAAAGCCUUGUGCGGCUGAGGAUGGGCCCGCGGCCUAUCAGCUUGUUGGUGGGGGAUGGCCUACCAAGGCGACGACGGGUAGCCGGCCUGAGAGGGCGACCGGCCACACUGGGACUGAGACACGGCCCAGACUCCUACGGGAGGCAGCAGUGGAGAAUCUUGCGCAAUGGGCGAAAGCCUGACGCAGCGACGCCGCGUGAGGGAUGACGG